rnacentral:tRNA from 1 species
GUGGCUCAGUGGUUAAGAGCAUUAACUGCUCUUCUCAAAAACCUGGGUUCAAUUCCCAGC